rnacentral:rRNA from 1 species
GACGAACGCUGGCGGCGUGCUUAACACAUGCAAGUCGAACGGAAAGGCCCUGCUUUUGUGGGGUGCUCGAGUGGCGAACGGGUGAGUAACACGUGAGUAACCUGCCCUUGACUUUGGGAUAACUUCAGGAAACUGGGGCUAAUACCGGAUAGGAGCUCCUGCUGCAUGGUGGGGGUUGGAACGUUUCGGCGGUUGGGGAUGGACUCGCGGCUUAUCAGCUUGUUGGUGGGGUAGUGGCUUACCAAGGCUUUGACGGGUAGCCGGCCUGAGAGGGUGACCGGCCACAGUGGGACUGAGAUACGGACCGGACUCCUACGGGAGGCAGCAGUGGGGAAUAGUGCACAAUGGGCUGAAGCCUGAUGCAGCAACGCCGCGUGCGGAAUGACGGCCUUCGGGUUGUAAACCGCUUUCGCCUGUGACGAAGCGUGAGUGACGGUAAUAGGUAAAGAAGCACCGGCUAACUACGUG